rfam:Ixodes scapularis strain Wikel colony gcontig_1108379673980, whole genome shotgun sequence.
GCAGUCGUGGCCGAAGGGUUCAGGCGAUGGGCUAGAAAUCCAUUGGAGUCUUUCCGGACAGGUUCGAAUCCUCUUGACUGCG